GUUGUAUAGUUAAGUGACUAAGCGUACAAGGUGGAUGCCUUGGCAAUCAGAGGCGAAGAAGGACGUGCUAAUCUGCGAAAAGCUUGGAUGAGUCGAUAAGAGGCGUUUAAUCCAAGAUAUCCGAAUGGGGAAACCCAGUAGAUGAAGAAUCUACUAUCAACAAGUGAAUUCAUAGCUUGUUGAGGCAAACCGGGAGAACUGAAACAUCUAAGUACCCCGAGGAAAAGAAAUCAACCGAGAUUUCGUCAGUAGCGGCGAGCGAAAGCGAAAGAGCCAGUAAGUGAUAGCAAUAUAGUUAGGAGAAUGUGUUGGGAAGCACAAUCAAAGAGGGUGAUAAUCCCGUAUCUAAAAACCAUAUUGUGGUACUAAGCUAACGAGAAGUAGGGCGGGACACGUGAUAUCCUGUUUGAAGAAGGGGGGACCAUCCUCCAAGGCUAAAUACUCCUGAUUGACCGAUAGUGAACCAGUACUGUGAAGGAAAGGCGAAAAGAACCCCGGUGAGGGGAGUGAAAUAGAACCUGAAACCUUGUACGUACAAGCAGUGGGAGCCCCAUCACUUAAUCCGAUUGGAAGGUGAUGAAAAGCAACCGCACUUAAACAAUGGUAAGAGGAGCGAAGCGAGUCAAACCACCCAAAAGAAGCAGUGGGAUUAAGUGAUGGGGUGACUGCGUACCUUUUGUAUAAUGGGUCAGCGACUUAUAUUUUGUAGCGAGGUUAACCGAAUAGGGGAGCCGAAGGGAAACCGAGUCUUAACUGGGCGUUGAGUUGCAGGGUAUAGACCCGAAACCCGGUGAUCUAGCCAUGGGCAGGUUGAAGGUUGGGUAACACUAACUGGAGGACCGAACCGACUAAUGUUGAAAAAUUAGCGGAUGACUUGUGGCUGGGGGUGAAAGGCCAAUCAAACCGGGAGAUAGCUGGUUCUCCCCGAAAUCUAUUUAGGUAGAGCCUUGAGGUGACACCUUUGGGGGUAGAGCACUGUUUCGGCUAGGGGUCCAUCCCGGAUUACCAACCCGAUGCAAACUACGAAUACCAAAGAGUGAUACUCAGGAGACACACGGCGGGUGCUAACGUCCGUCGUGGAGAGGGAAACAACCCAGACCGCCAGCUAAGGUCCCCAAGUCUAUAUUAAGUGGGAAACGAAGUGGGAAGGCUUAGACAGCUAGGAUGUUGGCUUAGAAGCAGCCAUCAUUUAAAGAAAGCGUAAUAGCUCACUAGUCGAGUCGGUCUGCGCGGAAGAUGUAACGGGGCUGAAAUAUAGCACCGAAGCUGCGGCAUCAGGCGUAUCACUAAUACGCCUNNNNNNNNNNNNNNNNNNNNNNNNNNNNNNNNNNNNNNNNNNNNNNNNNNNNNNNNNNNNNNNNNNNNNNNNNNNNNNNNNNNNNNNNNNNNNNNNNNNNNNNNNNNNNNNNNNNNNNNNNNNNNNNNNNNNNNNNNNNNNNNNNNNNCCUAAGGCGAGGCUGAAAAGCGUAGUCGAUGGGAAACAGGUUAAUAUUCCUGUACUUGGUAAAGCUGCGAUGUGGGGACGGAGUAGGUUAGGUUAUCGCACUGUUGGAUAUGUGCGUUUAAGUUGGUAGGUGGGAAGUUUAGGCAAAUCCGGACUUCCUUAACACAGAGAGAUGAUGACGAGGCUCUACGGAGCUGAAGUAACUGAUACCACACUUCCAGGAAAAGCCACUAAGCGAAAGGCUUUACUAAACCGUACUGAAAACCGACACAGGUGGUCAGGUAGAGAAUACUCAGGCGCUUGAGAGAACUCGGGUGAAGGAACUAGGCAAAAUAGCACCGUAACUUCGGGAGAAGGUGCGCCGGCGUAGAUUGUAAGGGCUAGCCCCUGAAGGUUGAACCGGUCGAAGUGACCAGCUGGCUGCAACUGUUUAUUAAAAACACAGCACUCUGCAAACACGAAAGUGGAGGUAUAGGGUGUGAUGCCUGCCCGGUGCUGGAAGGUUAAUUGAUGGUGUCAUCGCAAGAGAAGCACCUGAUCGAAGCCCCAGUAAACGGCGGCCGUAACUAUAACGGUCCUAAGGUAGCGAAAUUCCUUGUCGGGUAAGUUCCGACCUGCACGAAUGGCAUAAUGAUGGCCAGGCUGUCUCCACCCGAGACUCAGUGAAAUUGAAAUCGCCGUGAAGAUGCGGUGUACCCGCGGCUAGACGGAAAGACCCCGUGAACCUUUACUAUAGCUUGACACUGAACAUUGAAUUUUGAUGUGUAGGAUAGGUGGGAGACUAAGAAGAUGAUACGCCAGUAUUGUUGGAGUCGACCUUGAAAUACCACCCUUUAACGUUUGAUGUUCUAACGAAGAUUGCGGAACGUGGUCUCGGACAGUGUCUGGUGGGUAGUUUGACUGGGGCGGUCUCCUCCCAAAGCGUAACGGAGGAGCACGAAGGUUUGCUAAUCACGGUCGGACAUCGUGAGGUUAGUGCAAUGGUAUAAGCAAGCUUAACUGCGAGACAGACAAGUCGAGCAGGUACGAAAGUAGGUCAUAGUGAUCCGGUGGUUCUGAAUGGAAGGGCCAUCGCUCAACGGAUAAAAGGUACUCCGGGGAUAACAGGCUGAUACCGCCCAAGAGUUCAUAUCGACGGCGGUGUUUGGCACCUCGAUGUCGGCUCAUCACAUCCUGGGGCUGAAGUAGGUCCCAAGGGUAUGGCUGUUCGCCAUUUAAAGUGGUACGCGAGCUGGGUUUAGAACGUCGUGAGACAGUUCGGUCCCUAUCUGCCGUGGGCGUAGGAUGAUUGAUUGGGGCUGCUCCUAGUACGAGAGGACCGGAGUGGACGCAUCACUGGUGUUCCAGUUGUCUCGCCAGAGGCAUUGCUGGGUAGCUAAAUGCGGAAGAGAUAAGUGCUGAAAGCAUCUAAGCACGAAACUUGCCAAGAGAUGAGUCAUCCCUGACUUUAAGUCAGUAAGGGUUGUUGUAGACUACGACGUAGAUAGGUCAGGUGUGUAAGUGUAGUGAUACAUUGAGCUAACAGAUACUAAUUGCCCGAGAGGCUUAACUAUACAACGCUCAAG
rnacentral:rRNA from 1 species